rnacentral:rRNA from 1 species
CGCAAGCCUGACGGAGCAACGCCGCGUGUGGGAGGACGGCCUUCGGGUUGUAAACCACUUUUCUCAGGGAAGAAGGACUGACGGUACCUGAGGAAUAAGCCUCGGCUAACUCCGUGCCAGCAGCCGCGGUAAUACGGAGGAGGCAAGCGUUAUCCGGAAUUAUUGGGCGUAAAGCGUCCGCAGGGGGCACAUCAAGUCUGCUGUUAAAGGCUGGAGCUUAACUCCGGUAGAGCAGUGGAAACUGGUGUGCUAGAGGGCGACAGGGGUAGAGGGAAUUCCCAGUGUAGCGGUGAAAUGCGUAGAGAUUGGGAAGAACACCGGUGGCGAAAGCGCUCUACUGGGUCGCACCUGACCCUCAGGGACGAAAGCUAAGGUAGCG